rnacentral:lncRNA from 1 species
GAGAAGCAGGCUCCAUGCACCGGGUGCCCGACGUGGGAUUCGAUCCCGAGUCUCCAGGAUCGUGCCCUGGGCCAAAGGCAGGCGCCAAACCGCUGCGCCACCCAGGGAUCCCAAUUUUGAUUUUUUAGGCUCCUUUAAAGCCAGGUAUGGUCAGCUGUAGACAUGGUGUUUGCUAGUGAGAUGUAAAUGGAAGUCUACUUCACAGUUUCGAGAAUAGCUAUUGUUUUGCUAUUAAGAGGGGAAACUCAAGUUGGCACACACUUUGCCCUCCUCCUUCUCUUCUUCUGGUCUAUUACUAGAACAUGAUGGCUUGUGUUACAGAAGCCAUCUUGGUACCAUGAGGUCAAAAGCCACAUGCUAAGCAAGGUGUCGCAGGAAGCAAGCAAGAUCUUUCCCUGAUGGUCUCAUGAAGCCACAAUACCAACCUUGAAAUGCUUAUUCUUAGACUUUUUAUUUCAUAAGAUCAGUAAAUUCCUUAUUUAGUUAACCUAGGUUGAGAUCCUGCUACAUAUUAUCAAAUGUAACCUAACUCUUUCAAAGUCUAUACUUCAGUUUCUCCCUUUGAAUAGGCCUCCCCUGACCUAUGCCUUCAGUAGCUGCCUUCUUACCUCACUACUUUGACUAUAACCCCAGAUUAUUCACUCUCUCAUGCCAAAAGAAGCACAGGCCUGAGAGCAGGUGUCAUCAUGCUCCUCCUUUUUAAAAAAAUCUAUUUUAACCAUUACUUUUCCACUCUUAAACUUCUUUAAGGUUUACACCAUUGAUUUCAUCGUUCAGUUCUGUUAUCAUUAUCUGAUGUCCUGAAAGAAAUUCCCCUCAAUCUUAGUGUCUGUAAAGAACUCUAUAAACAUCCUAAACAAUCUCAAUAUUGAUAUGCAACGUCAUAAUCAUGAAGUUUCUUGACUUUCUUAACCACUCCAGCAGCCCAUACCCAAAGCCUCAUUCUGUAACAUGUUAUCUUUUUGAGCUCCUCUCUGUGUUUUUUAAAAGAUUUUAUUUAUUUAUUUGAGAGACAGAGAAAGAGAGUGUGCAUUAGCAGGGGGAAGGGCAGUGGGAAAAGGAGAAGCAGAUUUUCUGCUGAGCAGAAAGCCCUGCACGGAGCUCAAUCCCAGGACCUCGAGAUCACAGCCUGAAAUGAAGGCAGAUGCCCAACCAACUGAGUCAAUCAGGCGUCCUUCUGUGUUGUUUUUUUUUUUUUUUAUAAAGAUAUCAGUGUGUAUGUAAUUUUUUUAAAAGACAGCUUCUGUCUCUUAAUUAGCAAAUUCAUCCAUUUACAAUGUUCAUGGCUAUAAGUUUGGACAAAUAUUAUCUUAUUUUGUAGUUAUUCUGUACCAUGUUUUCCUGUUGCUUCAUUUUAUCCCCAUUUUGCUUUUUGUUAGGGUAAUCAAGUUUUAUUUCAUUUUAUUUUAACUGCUUAGGGGUUGUGUAUUCUAUUUCUAUUUUUUUAAUCUUUUUUUUUAAAGAUUUUAUUUAUUUAUUCAUUAUUCAUUCAUGAUAGAGAGAGGCGGAGACACAGGCAGAGGGAGAAGCAGGCUCCAUGCUGGGAGCCUGACGUGGGAUUCAAUCCCAGGACUCCAGGAUCGCACCCUGGGCCAAAGGCAGGCGCUAAACCGCUGAGCCACCCACGGAUCCCCUUCUAUUUCUAUUUUAGUAAUAGCCAGUAACGUUUAUUUUACAGUUUGGUUGGGAUAAAAUUUAUGUCAUACAAUGAACCCAUUGAAAGUGGAUUUUUCAAUCAUAUUUAGCAAAUUUGUACUGUUAUGCAACCAUCACUAUAAUUCAGUUUUAGAACUCUCUCAUCAUCCUCUAAAAUUUCAUGAUGUCAUUUAUAGUCCAUCCCCUCCCCUGCUCAGCUUCAGGCACACAUUGAUAGUUUUGCCUUUUCUGAAAAUGUCAGUAAAUGCAAUCAUAAAAUAUGCAGACUUAUGUGUGGCUUCUUUCACUUAGCAUAAUAAUUUUUUUUAAAGAUUUUAUUUAUUUAUUCAUAGAGACAGAGAGAGGCAGAGACACAGGCAGAGGGAGAAGCAGGCAUCAUACAGAGAGCCUGACGUGGGACUCGAUCCAGGGUCUCCUGGAUCGUGCCCUGGGCUGCAGGUGGCGCUAAACCGCUGCGCCACCAGGGCUGCCCACUUAGCAUAAUAAUUUGAGGUUUAUCCAUGUUGUUGCCUGUAUCAGUUAUUCAUUCCUGUUUAUUGCUGGGUAAUAUUCAUUGCAUGGAUAUGCCAUUUUUUGCUAAUCCAUUUAUUAAUGAGUUGAUGGACAUUUAGAUUGUUUCUAUUUGUUUUUGUGAGUAAUGUUGCUAUGAAUGUUCACCUAAGGUCUUUGUAUAGACAUAUGUUUUCAGUUCUCUUGGGCAAAUAUCUAGAAGUGGAAUGGCUAGAUCAUUUCAGAGAAGUAUGUGCUACUGCUAUCCACUGCUUGGCAUAAGCCAGAAAAAGUGGAGAGAACUAAACUCUGGCUACAUAUGCUCCAACCAAUAAUCCUGACAGUUCCACUGGGCUUUUUCUCACUCUCCUUGUACAAUCCUUCUGAAGGACCCCUAAAACAACUCCCUUCAACACCUCUAAGGCAACACCCAUAUUUUUAAUAGUCCCCUUCUUCACUUUUGGGUUUGGGUUCUCCCUCAAACUGAGAUCAUCUACUUUUUUACCUUCAGGAAUAUCUCAUAAUUUCUGACCCACAAACAGCAUCUUUAUUUAUUUUCAAUGAUGCUAUGAAUUUAUUUAUAGUGUAACUUGUCCUAAGAUUAGAAGUUCUGACCAUAAGACAGUAGACAACAAUCAAAUCCCAGAGUAAUAUGAUAGACCCACAUACAGGUUUCCAAAGCAAAUGUUUGAGAAUCAGUUAGAAAACUUACAUAUGAUGAGGAUAUAAAAAGGUUAAGAAAGUGGAGGAGGAAGAAAAUUUGUGGAGAGAGAGAGAGAUACUGCAGUAAUAAUUAUUCCACUCCUGUCCUACAACCUUCCUCCUCCUCCCUCCCUCUCAAGCCCAGCCAAAGCAGACUUCAGGAGACCACUGGAGGACUUGAUCUAUGUUCCCUGGAGCUUGGGAAGCACAUUGUUCUGACAUCUGACUGAAGCCUCACGCAUCAAAGGAUGGGAACCUCUGGCAACUGGCCCAGGAAGUCAAGGGCAGAGAUACUGAGUGAUGCUUUGCUUUGAGCAGUGACUGCAUUCCCCUCUGACACAAGCCAAAGGUGUGUGACCAUCAACGAUGAGGUGUAGAGCUUUGGGGAGGAAAAUUGGCCAAGGGUCAUUUAAAAAGUGUUCCAGAGCUUCUGCAAAAGGAAGAAAGCUGUGUGAGUGGACUGAGACUCUAGAAGGGAAGCUGCAGGGGCCACUGAGGAAAAUGAAUUCACCACAGCACGUGCAAUUGGAUAAACACAACCAAAGAACCGAAACCCCCCCCUUAAGAGAGUCAGCUUUCAACACCUCCAAGGCCUAAAAAGCAUGUGGCAUCACUUAAAACAGUUAUCAGUCAAAUGAGAACUUUCUGUGUCCCUUUUUCUUUCUUCUGCCCUUGUGCUCCAACCUGCCAGGGGCUGCAAGCUGUGAGGAGCCCACUGAGGGAAGAGAAACAGAGAGAGAAAGGAAACUAAUACCAUCUCUUCCAGGUGUCAGGAAUCCUGCCUGAAGCUGUCCCUAACUGGAGGAGAGGAGAGGAUUUCAUUCUAAAGCAGUUUUAGGAUUAGGAUUCUUACAAGAAAUUGGUCACACUAAUUUCCAUAUUCAGACUGUGUUUUGUGACUUAAAGGGAACAUAAGAGUAUCUAUUUCCUAAGAGACAUAAGAGACACCGAAAGAGUCAUGGGGGCCUGGGGGAGGUCUCAAGGGGGUAGCAGAACCGCUUCCCUCACUUAAUAAGUUUAGAGGGACAGUAGUCAACCAUAAAAAGUUAGUUCAUCAAUUACAAACCUUAGGUUGGGUUUGUUAAAUUAUAUGAUUACAAUUUCCAUAUCUGUUCUGCUAUUUCUAGGGAUUUAAAGUGGAGGGAGAGGCUGAAGUGUCUUCAUAAUCCAACUGUUUCACCUCUGAAAUAUUUUAUUUUGGUUUCUGAAAAUAACUGCCUAUUGUUUCUUCCUAUGUACUUCUAGCCACCAGUUCAUUAAAUUCCCUCUGUCUCCUCAGCUUGGACUCAUUCCUUUCCUUCCAGCCAAGACACUCUGGUGCAUUAUUUCAAUUUGCUAUUCUAUUUCCAGGAUGCAGCUUGCUUCUACCUCAUCUUUGCAUUGACCCUACUAAUCUGCUUUUUCUACUUCUAGACGUAGGCUGCUGAGCAAUACUGAAGAAAUCAUUUAGCCACACAUCCAGCAAAUUCCUACUCUCCAAACUCAGUUGGACUCCUAGCACUUCUUUGCAAAACAUUUAUAUAUUUUCUUCGGUCAGUUCCCCUUUUCUACCUACUUUAGUAGCUAUUACUUUUUGCCACUCAUUUGCCUGGAUAAAUUCGUAUUUCAUAGAAAGUACUGAAAAAGCUUUGUGAACAAGUUUUCGCCUUCUUCCCACUGGCUGAAUCUAUUUUGUUUACCUGUGUCCUGGGUCAGUGCAUAUCAGUAACCAGAGGAUCUGGUUAAAAUGCAGAUUCUGAUUCAGCAGCUCUGGGUGUGGCCUGAGAUUGUAUAUUUCUUUUUUUCUUUUAUUUAAAUUUGAUUUGCCAACAUCUAGUAUAACACCCAGUGCUCAUCCCAUCAAGUGCCAUCCUUAAUGCCCGUCACCCACUUACCUAUCCCCUCUGCCACUUUCCUUUCUGCAACCCUUUGCUUCUUUCCCAGGGUUAGGAGUCUCUGAUGGUUUGUCUUCCUCCCUAAUUUUUCCCUACUCAGUUCCCCCCCCUUUUCCCUAUAGUUCCUUUCUCUAUUUCUUAUAUUCCACAUAUGAAACUAUAUAAUAGUCUUUCUCUGAUUGACUUAUUUCACUCAGCAUAAUACCCUCCAGUUUCAUUCACAUUGAUGUAAAUGGCAGGUAUUCAUCCUUUUUGAUGGCUGAGUAAUAGGAGAUUGUGUAUUUAUAACAACCUUUCAGGUGAUGCUGAUGUUGCUAGUCCACAGACCACAUUUUAGGUAGCAAAGCUGUUGUUUGAUAUCCUCUCAUCUCCUUUUGCUCUACCAAUUUUUUUUUUUUGCUUUAUUUUCACACUCUCCCUAUUGGCUUUUCAGCAUAUAAAAUGCUUGAAUUUCUCUGAUCUUAAAAAUAUGUACGUUUCCAAAAUCUUUUCUUCUUAAGGCAUCACCUUAUCUCAUACCUUACGUUCUAUGUGUUAUCUAUUGCCGCAUAACAAAUUAUCCUAAAGCUUAGCAGCUGAAAAUAACAAUUUCUGGGGACUCAAAAACCCAGGCAUGGCUUAGCUAAGUCCUCUGGCUGCAAUCAAGUUGUUAUCUGGGGUUACAGUCACCUCUAAGUUUGUCUAGGGGAAGAUCCAUUUCUAAGCUCAUUUAUCUAAUGGUGGGAUUAGUUCCUUGCACAUUGUUGGACUGAGGGCCUCAGUUCCCUAUUGACUACUGACUAGAAGCCACCAUCCGUGGUUUGUAUUGAUUUCUCAAUAGAGCAUCUCACAACAUGGCAGCUAGCUUCCAUCAGAGUUCGCAGAGAGUGCAAGAAAGGGCAAGCAAGACAGAGCCCAGUCUAUUUGUAAUCUAAUCUGGGAAGUGGCGUUUCUAUCACUUUUGCUGUAUUCUAUUUAUUGGAAGCAAGUCACUAAGUCCAGCUCACACUCGAGAAGGGGACUGCACAAAGGCAUGGAUACCCAGCUUUUAGAAGCUGUGAUACAUUCAUAGCCAAGCCUCUUGGUAAAGUCUACACUUGCUUUCCCCAUUCUGUCAACUUUCAUUCACCUUUUCAACCUUUAGGUUUUGGUUCUCACUUUCAUUACUUACUAAAGAUGCCAUAAUUGUCAAAUCCAGAAAUCAUAUCUCAGUACUCCCCUUUCCUGACCUCUUACUUAGCUUUCAUAACAUCAAUCUCUCUUGAUUUUAUCCCUAUACCUUGAACCAAAGCCUCAAUACCCUUUCUAGCUCUUCUUCAUCCAUGUAUAUUUUAAAUGUAGAUGUUUCAUUAAGUCCCUGUUUUCUUCCUGCUUUGCGUACAGUACUCUCAUCUUCGCCUACAGCUUCUGUUAACCUUAAAAAUAAAACUGUUAGUUAUUUUACCAGCAAAAAUGAGUUUAGUUGAGAAAUGACAAUGUAAGAAAAGCAAUUCAUGGCAAAAGCCAUAGGUAAUUAGGAGAACAAAGACAAGAAAUGCUCUUCUGUAGAGGAAAGGCAGGAGUAGGGAGGGCUGUUAUAAACUAAAAGCCCAUUGGAGUAAACUGGAAGCUCAAAGUAUAGUGUCUUUUCCUUGUCUGAGUUGUGACAGCCGCUCAUUGGCUGGGCUGUUGCACGUGUGAGUCCUGCUGGGGUAUUAAAGUAGUAGUUAACAUAGUAUCCCAUUUGCAAGGUAUAGCUCUUCCUUUUGGGGUCUGCAAUUGAUGAUAUACGUAUAACAAUUUAAAAAUUAAAACGUAUACGUUGACGCUCUGCAUAUAUUUUCCAUAGAGGGGAACAAGCCUAUUAGCAAAUCAGUAAUCCAGUAUUUAAAUCUGAACAAAUUACAAGUGGCUCUCUUAUUCAAUCUGAUUUAUUGCACUUGCCCCCCACUCCUUUCCUGCCCUGCUUUUCUCCUAUUGUAAUCUCAAAGAAAAUUGUAGGUAUAGUGCAAUGUGUAUGACCAGAAAAGAGAAGUAUAGAAAAAUCUUAAUGCUUUUCAUUUGCUACGUCAUGAUUUUUAGUGAAGAGGUCACAUGAAAUCAGCCUAUCCACUGGCAUACUUUAUCCUUCCCAUCCCCGUAUAAGGUAACUUAAGUGGGAAUGUUAAUGCUUUGAUGCUUUUAGAAAGGGCUUGUCAUAAACUGUUUGACCCCUUGCUUAAAACAAAACCAAAAAUUAAAUCCACUGGACAACACCAUCUGCAAAUGAGCUAAUUAGCACUGGCAAAAUAGGGCAAAUAUUUAGUCAUUAGGAGACAUCUUAAAUGACAAUACUCUUAAGAGCUGUCCAUUAGAACAGAUAUAUGUGAAGAUACACAUGAGAAAGGUAAGUAAGCAAAUACGGAUAAUCCAUUAGAAAUUCUUAAUUAGAAUUAGCUGUGAGAGCCUGGUGUGGAGGAAUGCAACAGAAGAAGCUUCCAUUUGAAUUGUUUGUUUAUCCUACUUAUCUGAAGUCAGAGCCAAUAAUCCCAAUGAUCCUAAGAAUGGUGAUAAAUGUUUUUCCACAUGUAGAAAGAGCCAAUUGGCAGAACCUUUACAAAUAGGCCAAUUCCUGCUCUUAGUAACAUGAUAUAAAUUAGGCUCUGCUGAGUUAUUGCUGGUGGGUCAUGUGCCUUGACUUGUUUCUUAUUAGCAGAGAUAGAUUUACACCCAUUCUCAUGCUUUCUGGCUCAGGGCCUUUUGCAACCACCUGCAAGCGUUUAAGAGACAAAAGGGUGAUAUUAAUAUUUGGGGAACAAAACCAAGCUACCUGACCCAUGGGAGUAUGACCUUUGCAUCUGUCAAAUGCCAGAUUGUCAAAACCAAUGGGGGAACAUCUAUAAGGCUUUGUGUUCCAAAAGAGAGUGUCACAGCACAUCUUUGCUGGAUUCCACAGAAACUAUAUUUUUCCCCUCUCCCUUGAUUUUGUUCUUUUAGUCCAAGCAGAUCUAAGUCCUAAGUGUCUUUUAGGUCUCUGCUAGUAUUUUUUUUUAAGAUUUAUUUAUUUAUUUAUUUAUUUAUUUAUUUAUUUAUUUAUUUAUUUAUUUAUUUAUUCAUGAUAGACACAGAGAGAGAGAGAGAGAGAGAGGCAGAGACACAGGCAGAGGGAGAGAAGCAAAGGGAGAAGCAGGCUCCCGACGCGGGACUCCAGGAUCACGCCCCGGGCCAAAGGCAGGCGCCAAACCACUGAGCCACCCAGGGAUCCCCUCUCUGCUAGUAUUUAUUAUGUCAUUUAGACAACUCAGUUUCUGUCCUUGACCGAUACCUGAUUCUGUUUUUGCUUUCUUUUACUAAGUCUCUUUGACCUACUUGCGUCCUCCUCUGUAUCUGGUUUAAACUUUUGGCUGCUUUUGUUUUAGCUCUCCUCUACAGUCUGUAGAGACUUCGAUCCAUCAUGCAACACAAGAUAUAAAGAGCUACAUUAGAACAUUGGAUACUGGCUUAUCAGAUCCUGUGACCUCCCACCUUCUAAAAUGAUUUUAUCUGUAUGCUUUUUAGUUGAAACUGGCUGACAGCUUUGGAUUAUGACCUAUAAAUAAAAAUUUUGUAAAUUGGAUGAAUAGAAAGUAACAUUUUUCCACUCAGCUCCCAUCUUUUGUAUUUAUAACAUGAAUGCUGAGUGUCCAUGGGAGGAAGGGCUUCAUUUACCUUUAGAAAUAAUUUAAUUAUUAUUCUCCUAAAUGGACACAGAAUGAUAGCCCUACUAAUUAAUAGAUAGAAAUCUAAGAAAGAAAAACCCAAUAUUUUUACCUUGACUAGUUAACACUAUAUGUUAAUCUAAGUCAUUUUUAUAAUUUUCAGACUGAGUCUCAGCUAAGAGGUAAGACUAUUCAUAUUAUACACCCCUACAAGGAGGCUUACACCCCUACAAGUUGCCAUUUCAAAUAUUUUUACUCUUCCAUUACUACUAAUAUUCAGAAUAUAGAAUUUUCAACUCUUAUGGAUUAUUUCUUUUCAGAAGCAAUGUGUUUGUUGUGUGGAUUAAAUAAUUUGGAACAGAGCCUAACACAUAGAAUAGAUAUUUGCUAGUAUAACUUUUUAAAAUUAUAGUAACAGAUUAGUAUCAAGAUCAUGCUGGAUGGUAUUUAGCCAGGGAUAUCUGAAUAUGGUCUUGGACCCGUUACUCUUCUCUCUGUAAUAGUGUUGAAGAAGUUAUCUGCAUAAUGGGGGCUAAACAAGACAAAGUAAUAUUUCAUUGUUAGCUAGAUCUUUGGUUUCAAACCCUAACAUAAUCAGAAGAACGGUAAAAUUCCACUCCUUUAGGCUAGAGGCCACAAAACCCAAUGGCCAAAGCAAGCCAAAUGACAAACCUUUUCUCUCCUUUCUACCUCAUACCUUUAAUCACACUCUAGCUUUGAAAUUUGCCAUUCCAGUGAUAUAAAAAUGAUGCCUGCCAGAGCUAGAAAAUAAGAGACAAAUAGUAAGAGGGGGAAAAAAUUGUUCCUUUAACAUAGAGCUAUAUACCCCAGACUUUCUCGUGCCAGGACAAUACACUGAACUUGAGUCAUCUGGGAAAAGAGAAACAAAUGGAGAACAGAGGAAGGGAAGAUGGUUUAGAUUUCUAUCGAGUUUGAACCCUGACUUCCAUAACCUCAUUGGAUACAAACUGAAAAGAUGAAAAGAGCUUGUACAGUUUUGAAGCUGUGGCACUAAUCUUCGCUCAUAUUGCCAUCCUCGUCUGGCUGGGCAUUUGAUUACAGCUAGAAACCAAACCACUAGCCAUGGCCACUGCAAUGUUUCUUAAACCAAACCAAACCAAACCAUAGACAUUCCCCUUAUGGACUGGACUGGGUCCGAGGACAAAAGACUGAAACAAAGAGUACUACCUUUGCCUUUGGGCACCAGCUAUCUUCUAGGAUUGCGAAGAUGAUUAGCAAUAAGAUACGUAAUGUACAUAGCUCAUAGUAGGCCCUCCAAUUGUAGUUACUUUUCUUCAUUUUGCUGUUAUUAUUACUAAAGAAAAUCCUCUAUGCUAGAUAUAGAAAUACAGAAAACUGAAUAGUGCAAAUUACAUAGUGCUUGAUAUCAUAAUUACAUCUCCCAGAACUGUAGCAGAAGUGAUUGACCAUUUAGGACUUAAAAAUCUUAAGAGUCGCUUUGUUUUCAGUAUUCUCUGUAAUUUGGUGGCUACAAGUGGUCAAAUACAGUACUUGGGUAUAGAUUUAAGAAACUUAAAAUGAGUACAGAAUUUGACAACUAUGUUCCAUCUAGAUUUAAAUUAUAUUUAGAGUUUGGCUGGGAUGUUAGCCAAAAGAGAUUUGUUAUAGAUUCACAGGAUAAAAUUAUGGCAUGAAUCAUCAUCUCUCUAGCUUAUUCAAGUAAAGAUUUUUUUUCAGAAGAUAUUUUAGAGACAGAUGCAGUUCAUGAUUUGAUGUAUAUGUGUUUCUGAAAUUUGAUUCUUUAAUUUCAAAGAAUACAACAAACAAGGGCAUACAUCAUCUAAAGCUACAUGUUUGGGUUUAUCAGAUAAACCUAAGUGAAAGAAUGUAAGAACAUGUGUUUUUUUAUUUAUCUCCUAUUUAAAAGGAAGAGUUCUAUAUAAAAAGAGACUUGUUAUUUUCAAGGCCAACUAUUAUUUAGAAAACAUAGAACAUAGAGUUACAGAUAUCUUUGUGAGUAAGGAUUUUUAAAAGCAGUUAUCAUAGUUUUUGACAGUAUUAAGACCAACGCAGAAUGUUGGAAGAGUCCAUACUGAGAUCAUCACCUAAUACUGUAGUGAUAAAACAUUCAAGUCCAACUUCAGAAUUCCUGACAUUUGUUAUGGAGAUAAAAAUGUGAAUUUUAAAAAACUAGUCCAAUAAGAUUGUAUCAGGGUAACUGGUAUUAUUUUCAUUUGCACUGGUUGGCUAAGCUUUCACAGUAAUCCAAUUUUUUUUUACAGUAAUCCAAUUUAAUCUUUAAUCCUUAACAUUAUCCUGACCUCUAGGUAAUAGCAUCUGGAAUUCUACUAAAAUUGAUUGUAGUGCCCUUAAUAGUUAUUUUUUAGAAAGAUAUUAGAAAAAAAGAAUAGAAAAUGAUAAAGAUAAAAGAG